rnacentral:rRNA from 1 species
CAUAUGUUUGAUAACAGCUGAAAGCCUCUCAAGCUGAAAUCAUAGCUGAAUCAUAUUUCCUUUGGCGAUAGCUUAAAACCUACUUCUCCUUAACGUGAGGUAGGAUCCAAGCACUAACUGGUCUUGUACAUGUGCUUGACUCCUUGGUUAUGGUUUCGUGAACUUUACCGACGGAUAGGUGCGCUUCUCCUGCAGAGUAGCUUUUUAUGGUCGUUAUCAUUAUAAGCCUUAUUAUGAUCGCAAGGUC